rnacentral:tRNA from 1 species
UGGAGAGAUGGCUGAGUGGUCGAAAGCGGCUGAUUGCUAAUCGGUUGUAUAGAUUGUCUCUAUACCGAGGGUUCGAAUCCCUUUCUCUCCGA